rnacentral:rRNA from 1 species
UACGGAGGGGGCUAGCGUUGUUCGGAAUUACUGGGCGUAAAGCGCACGUAGGCGGCUUUGUAAGUUAGAGGUGAAAGCCCAGGGCUUAACUCUGGAAUUGCCUUUAAGACUGCAUCGCUAGAAUCGUGGAGAGGUGAGUGGAAUUCCGAGUGUAGAGGUGAAAUUCGUAGAUAUUCGGAAGAACACCAGUGGCGAAGGCGACUCACUGGACACGUAUUGACGCUGAGGUGCGAAGGCGUGGGGAGCAAACAGG